rnacentral:misc_RNA from 1 species
GUCACCCGUUAUCAUUGUCGGUCUCCCGGUUUAGCUUCUCAUGAGUUGUGGAGAUGAAUCAUGAUUCGAGUGUUGCUCGUAGGCGUCAGCCUGCUCCUCUGUGCUCCUCCGGUGAUUGCAGACGAAAAAGCUUCGGAUGGCUGGGUGACGAUAUUUGACGGAAAGACCUUCGAUGGCUGGAAGGCCAGCGAAAACAAGGACUCGUGGAAGAUCGAAGAUGGCGCAUUUGUCUGUGAUGGAGAACGCAGCCAUCUGUUCUAUGUCGGCGAUGACAAGCCGUUUGUGAACUUCGAGUUCCAGUGCGAUGCGAAGACUACA